rnacentral:rRNA from 1 species
CCAAUAGCGUAUAUUAAAGUUGUUGCAGUUAAAAAGCUCGUAGUUGAAUUUCGGGAUUGACGUGAUGGUCGUGCCUUAAGGGGUAUGAACUGUUGCAGUCAAUUUCUCACCUUCUGGAGAAAUAUGAUGUCCUUAAUUGGGUGUCAUAUGGAACCAGAACUUUUACCUUGAAAAAAUUAGAGUGUUUAAAGCAAGCUUAUUGCUCGAAUACAUUAGCAUGGAAUAAUAAAAUAGGACGGCAUGAUUCUAUUUUGUUGGUUUCUAGGAUCACCGUAAUGAUUAAUAGGGAUAGUUGGGGGCAUUAGUAUUCAAUUGUCAGAGGUGAAAUUCUUGGAUUUAUUGAAGACUAACUACUGCGAAAGCAUUUGCCAAGGAUGUUUUCAUUAAUCAAGAACGAAAGUUAGGGGAUCGAAGACGAUCAGAUACCGUCGUAGUCUUAACCAUAAACUAUGCCGACUAGGAAUCAGACGAUGUUAAUUUUUUAAUGACUCGUUUGGCACCUUACG